rnacentral:snRNA from 1 species
GUUUUAUUUUGCCAGCACAUAUACUAAAAUUGGAAUGAUACAGACAAAAAAUCAGCAUGGCCCCUAGCAAAAAUUAUAUGAAAAUUCACAAAGCAUUCCAUAUUUUU